AUUUAUAAAUAUAUUAUAAACACAAGUGUUGGUCAUAUAUUACGAAUAAAAUUGAUUUUGUACGAAAAAAAUGAGUUUGAAGUGUCAUUUUUACGAAGGACCUUAGAAACAGAGGUCACUCAAUGACGUCAUUGGUGACCGACUUUCCCAAAAUUCAUCAAGCGCGAAAUCAAAACAAACCAGCGCGAAUGAAAAUACAGUACCAACGAUGAUGGACAAUGGAGACGAUUUCACUUCUUCCUCAUCGGAAGAGGGAGACCCUGACCUUGGCUGUGGUCCAUAUUUAUAUGAGCCUUGUUAUGAACAAGAACAAAACAGAGAAGAAGAUGAUGAUCACGAAUCGAAGAGCCAAACCGACUUUUGAAUAUGCACUGAUAUAUUUCUUGUGGUUCCACAUUCUAAGGAGGAGCGAGUAUAAUAUUUGAAUCAUCCCUUUGCAGUACAGCCUUGGAAAUUUACUCCUUAAUCUACAUUUUAAGUUUUCUUUAAAUAGUACCGUGUGAGACAGAAUGAAUCACUGAUGAAUAGAUAGUAAGACUAUAUUAGUCCGAAUAUUAAUCUUCACAAUAUACAAAUCUUCAUAAUAUACAGCACUGUCUGUAGCAGGAUAAACAUUGCAUACAAUAAUACUGUGUUAUGGAUGUUCUUUAAGUUUAAAAAUAACUUUUGUUAUAAUUCAUCUUAUGUUAUGUUGUGCUUUUUAACAGGAAGUAUAGAUACAUCGCCUACAGAAAUCUUGUGCGGAGCUGCUGGGGAUUUUUAGGAAGAGAAAAUCGUGUGAUUUUGCCAGCUUGUGGCGUUACAGCUAUUCGACAACAUUUUCCUAGCCCUCAAGAUGAGGGAUAUACAGGCUUUAAACUUGGAAAAUUAGAGGAAAUUUAAAUCUUGUAUGAUUAUUAAAUAUUUUAAUUAGGGGCCUAGUUUAGGCCUACUUAAUGAAAACUGAAAAGGCCAUCCUUUUCGCAAGUAAAUACUAAACUAAAAGGUAGCGGGAUGCAUUCUCUACUAACUCAUAGGCCUGCCCAGCCUACAUACAGUGUCAUUCACUCAUUCUUUAAUGUAGUUCAUGGAUUGUUUAUUAAUUAUUGAAAUAUCGUUGUUUGUAACUUGUUUAUAUAACGUGUUACCUUACAACUGUUGUAUUUAAUAAUAAUUCUAAUAUGUUAUAUGGACAUGCCUACUACACUUCUCCAUGUGCACUUACAUCUCGAUAUACAUACUGUACAAUCAUUUUAAAUAAACUUACAGUCGAAAAACA